UGUUUGGGAAUGCAGCUCUAAAUGGGUGGUAAGUUUCAUCUAAAGCUAAAUAAUGGCGAGAGACCGAUAGCGAACAAGUACCGUGAGGGAAAGAUGAAAAGAACUUUGAAAAGAGAGUUAAAAGUACUUGAAAUUGCUAAGAGGGAAGCGCUGGCAACCAGUGAUUCUCGCCGUUCAUCGCCCUCAGCCCCACUAGUUCGUGUGAGUCGUUGGAAACUCGACUUGCGCGAACGAAAGGGUGGUUGGAGGUUUAGGACGGCGGGUGAGUCAAGAUUCACUCGACACUGUGGAAGAAGGUAGCGAGAAAGGUAGGUGACUCCGGUCACUGUUAUAGUCUUGUUACUCUACCUCGGUUUGGAUGGAGGAAGGAAUAGUGCGCUGCUUGCGGCUUAGUCCUAUGCUCCUGCUGGUGAAGUCGCUCUGAUAGCAAUGCUAUCUUUGUGGCGUAAGCCGGUACUGGGUAUGGUGACUCUAUGUGCUAUCACGAUCUUGUACGAAAUGGUUGUCAUCGACCCGUCUUGAAACACGGACC
rnacentral:rRNA from 1 species